rnacentral:rRNA from 1 species
UGGGGAAUUUUGGACAAUGGGGGAAACCCUGAUCCAGCCAUCCCGCGUGUUCGAUGAAGGCCUUCGGGUUGUAAAGCACUUUUGGCAGGAAAGAAACGUCAUGGGUUAAUACCCCGUGAAACUGACGGUACCUGCAGAAUAAGCACCGGCUAACUACGUGCCAGCAGCCGCGGUAAUACGUAGGGUGCAAGCGUUAAUCGGAAUUACUGGGCGUAAAGCGUGCGCAGGCGGUUCGGAAAGAAAGAUGUGAAAUCCCAGAGCUCAACUUUGGAACUGCAUUUUUAACUACCGGGCUAGAGUGUGUCAGAGGGAAGUGGAAUUCCGCGUGUGGCAGUGAACUGCGUAGAUAUGCGGAGGAACACCGAUGGCGAAGGCAGCCUCCUGGGAUAACACUGACGCUCAUGCACGAAAGCGUGGGGAGCAAACAGG